rnacentral:pre_miRNA from 1 species
ACAACAUUCGGACCGUCGGCGUCGGUCUACCAAGCAAUAUCACCCGCUCGGUGGAAGACCUUCCCAUUCGUCGU